GUGGAUUAGAUAGCCCGGUAGUCCACGCCGUAAACGAUGAUAACUAGCUGUCCGGGCACAUGGUGCUUGGGUGGCGCAGCUAACGCAUUAAGUUAUCCGCCUGGGGAGUACGGUCGCAAGAUUAAAACUCAAAGGAAUUGACGGGGGCCUGCACAAGCGGUGGAGCAUGUGGUUUAAUUCGAAGCAACGCGCAGAACCUUACCAGCCUUUGACAUCCCGGUCGCGAUUACCAGAGAUGGUUUUCUUCAGUUCGGCUGGACCGGUGACAGGUGCUGCACGGUCGUCGUCAACU
rnacentral:rRNA from 1 species